CGUUUGUUUCAUCUCCCGCUUCGCCCUGGUUCCUGAGAACGUCGCUGGAGGUCGUCAGGAGUGAGGCCUGGACCGUGGGCCUGAGCCGGCAGCUGAGCCGGCAGCUGGGCAGCUCUCCCCGCCUGUCCUGGGAGAAGCGGUUCCUGUACAAGGCUCUCAGCACGGCCCUGGCAGCUUGUGGGUGUCUAUGCCACGUGCGAGAGCAGACCCUGAAACAUCUGAAAGCAGCCAGCUUCCUGGAGCUGUGGGAGGCACAGGGAAUGGUUUCAGUUGUGUCCUGCUGUGCCGAGAGCCACUUCCAGCUGGCCUUGUCCUUGGUGAAGGAGUUCAUGGGGACUUUGAAACACCAGAAGGUAAAGAGCCUGUGGCGGUGUUGUGGGGAGCUGCCGGGAGUUGUGCAGGGAGCUGUGCCGCUGG
rnacentral:lncRNA from 1 species